UACGGGGGGGGCAAGCGUUGUUCGGAAUUACUGGGCGUAAAGGGCUCGUAGGCGGCCAACUAAGUCAGACGUGAAAUCCCUCGGCUUAACCGGGGAACUGCGUCUGAUACUGGAUGGCUGGAGAUUGGGAGAGGGAUGCGGAAUUCCAGGUGUAGCGGUGAAAUGCGUAGAUAUCUGGAGGAACACCGGUGGCGAAGGCGGCAUCCUGGACCAACACUGACGCUGAGGAGCGAAAGCGUGGGGAGCGAACAGG
rnacentral:rRNA from 1 species